AGCGAACGCUGGCGGCAGGCCUAACACAUGCAAGUCGAACGAUCCUUCGAGAUAGUGGCGGACGGGUGAGUAACACGUGGGAACGUACCUUUAGGUUCGGGAUAACUCAGGGAAACUUGAGCUAAUACCGGAUAAGCCCUUUUGGGGAAAGAUUUAUCGCCUUUAGAGCGGCCCGCGUUAGAUUAGCUAGUUGGUGAGGUAAAGGCUCACCAAGGCUCCGAUCUAUAGCUGGUCUGAGAGGAUGAUCAGCCACACUGGGACUGAGACACGGCCCAGACUCCUACGGGAGGCAGCAGUGGGGAAUCUUGCGCAAUGGGCGAAAGCCUGACGCAGCCAUGCCGCGUGAAUGAUGAAGGUCUUAGGAUUGUAAAAUUCUUUUAGCAGGGACGAUAAUGACGGUACCUGCAGAAAAAGCCCCGGCUAACUUCGUGCCAGCAGCCGCAGUAACAC
rnacentral:rRNA from 1 species